CACGCGGACCGAAUCGAACGCACGACUGCGUGAAUGUUGACGAAAUGGCGGCAUUAGACGUAAACGUUUAUAAAACGAAACUCUUUGACGUUACUAUUUCUGUAUUGUCCAAGUUAUCAACAAACAAACACAGUUUUUGUUGGAUUUAUUUUGGUCAAUUAGUUAUUAAUAUUGAUGGAAGAAAACGAAUAGUGUUCGGCGACCAAGUGUUUUGUGACGCAUGUUUGACACGAGAGAAAGAAAAAGAUUGCGAUGUACUAUUUUCCAAAGCACUCGUCAAGGCCUACAGUAGAAAUAUAGCCACCAGCAAUUUACUACGUCAUUUAAAGGACGAACAUAACCUAGAAGAUACGCACACAAAAAAAGUAGCAAAUAUUAAAGAUUUUUUUCCGUACAGAGAAAAUCGAAACCAGUAACAAAAAGUGGUGAAGCUGGUGGGAAAAAAGACAAAUGGAUGCUGGCGCGCGAUCUAGCACUAUGGUUUGCCAGAUCAAUAUUGCCAUUCGACAGCAUAAAUGACGAAGCCAUGAUUGACUUUUUCAAAAAAUACAAUAUUAUUGUGACUGAUGACGAUCUACCCUCACGGCAUAAUAUUGCUAGAGAGGGGCUAGAAGAUGUAUAUAACAGUAUGUUGGCAUAUGUACAGAGUACUAUUAAAAAACAAAAUAUAAGAUUUGGUGCAUUAACAUAAGAUUUGUGGACAGACCAAUUUAGACGACGUAAUUAUAUAACCUGCACUUUCCAUUACAUUUCCCAUGAGAUGAAUCUUUUGAAAUUCACGUUAGCUACUCAACAAGUUACUG